rnacentral:rRNA from 1 species
GACGAACGCUGGCGGCGUGCUUACCACAUGCAAGUCGAACGAAGUGGCGAACGGGUGAGUAACGCGUAAUCAAACUGCCCUUCAGAGGGGGACAACAGGUGGAAAAGACUGCUAAUACCGCAUACUGAAGGAGUGGAUUGCGUCUGAUUAGCUAGUUGGAGGGGUCACGGCCCACCAAGGCGAUGAUCAGUAGCCGGUCUGGGAGGAUGAACGGCCACAUUGGGACUGAGACACGGCCCAGACCCCUACGGGAGGCAGCAGUGGGGAAUCUUCCGCAAUGGACGAAAGUCUGACGGAGCAACGCCGCGUGAGUGAUGACGGCCUUCGGGUUGUAAAGCUCUGUUAAUCGGGACGCGGUACCGGAAUAGAAAGCCACGGCUAACUACGUGCCAGCAGCCGCGGUAAUUC